GGAUGGCUGAAAUAUGAUGAGUAUACAAAGUCUUGAUUUCAAAAUGAGAACAUAUAAGAUCCAACUCUGAUUUCAUCCAGAG